CCCAUCCUAGAAGCAGCAAUAAACAGAGUAAUUACAUCUCUCUCUACAGCAUCCAUCAUGGAACCAGCCUCUCGCAGUGCCAACAUCUAUUUCCCCAAGAGUAUUGCCUGGCUGUGAUAUUUCUGCUUGGAAAAUGGCUCUGUGGAGUUCAGUCACCAAGAUGCUUUAUUUGAUGUCGGCCAAGCAGGAAAUACCAGCACAAUUACCACUACAGUGUAAGUGCAUUAUUGGUUUUGGAAAAAGAACCAUAAAAGGCUCAGCAACCCACCCCAGCAGGAUCCUGUCCACAGCAACGUUGGUGGAAGAAGCAAUGAGGAGUUUCCAUGGAGUUGCCCUCGGACUCUCUGUAGCUUCACUGCUUUCAAAGAGCUGCACCAGGAACAAGAUGACCACAGACAGCAAGUAGCUCUUGCCAGCUCCAAAAACACCUGGGGUUUUGGAAGAAAAAGCCCAAGUUACAAGUGAUCAUCUGAGCCACGUGAAUCAGCGAUGCUGCUUGGUCUGGGUUCAGGGAGAACCUCUGGAUCAUCUCUUCAGCCACUCCCAUUGCCACUUGAGAGCUCACAGGGCCAGGCAUCAUGGAGCACUUCACACUCAUGGCAGAAAGAAAUCUUUACUCUUUAAAUGUAGAGAAAAUGUGUUAAAUCCUGCUGAAGUCCUGGGCUACUGGAAUAUUCAUAAAUCAUGAAGUGGCACAGCAUUUGAGGGUACCUCACCA